rnacentral:piRNA from 1 species
AAGAAGGGAGGGCAGCAACUGGAGAU